rnacentral:rRNA from 1 species
CCCCUAGUAACUGCGAGUGAAGCGGGAAAAGCUCAAAUUUAAAAUCUGGCGGUCUUUGGCCGUCCGAGUUGUAAUCUAGAGAAGUGUUAUCCGCGCUGGACCGUGUACAAGUCUCCUGGAAUGGAGCGUCAUAGAGGGUGAGAAUCCCGUCUUUGACACGGACUGCCAGGGCUUUGUGAUGCGCUCUCAAAGAGUCGAGUUGUUUGGGAAUGCAGCUCCAAAUGGGUGGUAAAUUCCAUCUAAAGCUAAAUAUUGGCGAGAGACCGAUAGCGAACAAGUACCGUGAGGGAAAGAUGAAAAGAACUUUGGAAAGAGAGUUAAACAGUACGUGAAAUUGCUGAAAGGGAAACGCUUGAAGUCAGUCGCGUUGGCCGGGGAUCAACCUUGCUUUUGCUGGGCGUACUUUCCGGUCGACGGGUCAGCAUCAAUUUUGACCGUUGGAUAAAGUCUAGAGGAAUGUGGCAUCUUCGGGUGUGUUAUAGCCUCUGGUCGCAUACAACGGUGGGAUUGAGGAACUCAGCAGGGAAAAAA